UGCGCAUGCACGUGACUUUGUUGUUUUUUUAUUUUUCUUCUGGGAUGAAUACCUAUUGCCCGGUUGUAAAAUUAUUGCAAUUUUACGUUAAAAAAUACCCUAAAGGAUUGAUUGUAAACAUCGUUUGAUGUGUUUCUACAAAUGGUAAUGGAACUUUGAACAUUUCGUCUAUGGAUUUGCGUCCACACCACAUGGCAUUGUAAAGUGUUCUGGAUGGGUCAACAAAACAGACGUAUUUGGACACAAAUGACGGACUUUGCAGAACAAAUGAACAUUUCUUGUGGAAGUGGGUGCCCAUCUGAAUGCAUUCCGCCGAAGAUCAGCAAAGGUGGUCGACUUGGAAGCACUUGGAACGUCCAGGCAGAGAUGGCAGAGAGAGUGAUCAGCUUCAGCCUGACCUCAACUGGUUUGAUCUGGAAUAAACGUACCCCGAACCGAGUGAGAUGGAGGACAUUUAGUCGAUGGCCUAUGCACCUUAUAGGAGCCAAGAACUUGAGUCAAGUCAUACACGCUUGUAUCCAAUGUAUCAGGGGAAUGACAUCUGUGGCCUAACACUUCGACUGUCUCACAUAUAGUAGUAGCCUGGUCCUAGAUCUGUUUGUGUCAUCAUUCCACUCCUUGACACUCAUUGCAUGCCAAACAUGUGGAAUGAUAGCACAAACAGACUGGUACCCAGGCUACACAGAUAGAUCUAGAGAGAACUGUGUGAAGUGCCUCUUACAUCGUUAAGAUGGUCAGUUAGUGACAAGAAUGUGGCUGUGUUUCUUCCUGCUUGGAUCAAACUUGUUGUUGUCAGCCAGUCAAGUUCCAAAUGAAAAAUAAAAAAGCAGUAUGGUAUGUUCAAUGGAACAGUUAUGCAAAAUGCAUCUGAUAUGGCUGCUUAUUACGUCUGGUUGGUUCUAACAUUCUACUUAAAGGAGCAGUACGGACUUUAUCUGGGGAAAAGCACAACAUAGCAAAAAAAAUAUCUUAUUGAGGAAGACACCCUCCAUAGCGUUCAGUGAGUUCAUCUCAUCUACAACCCUGUGUUCUCCCGCAUGGAAGUCCUUCACAUAUAAAACAGAUGAUCACUUACUCUGCAGCAAAAAAAAGCUUGCUGUCAAGGGGUGAGUGUAGUCGGUGCAUGGAAGUCAGGUGCAGGAGAGCAGAGAUGAGUGGACAAGCACUUUACUUAGGCAAUCAUAAUGCACAGAACGCAACAGCGUCACAAAACAAAUGCCCAACGAACAAGUAAGGCAGCACAAAGUACAAAACCCAAGUACCAAGUACCGGCUGCCACAACGCACGGGUAUAAAACAAAACCCGGCGUAAACCAGCCGGAAGCGUGCCAACCUUGACAAUAAACAAUUUCACACACAGACAUGGGGGGAACAGAGGGUUAAAUACACAACAAGUAAUGAGGGAAAUGUAAACCAGGUGUGUGGGAAAACAAGACAAAACAAAUGGAAAAUGAAAGGUGGAUCGGCGAUGGCUAGAAGAGCGAUGAUUUCGACUGCCGAACGCUGCCCGAACAAGGAGAGGAACCGACUUCGGCGGAAGUUGCGACACUUGCAUAGAUCUCUAGUUGCAUCAAAAAUAAUAUCAGCUGGUCAAUGUGGAGUGAUUCAUCAAAUCAAAGACCUGAAGACGUGAUUUAUGUUCUCCAACUCAGUGCUGUCCUUGCUGAAGGGAUAUUGCAGACCUGUUUUAACUCCUCUUUAGCUCAGUGGGCUAACACAGUCUUGUAGUGUGUACUGUGCAACAGCCCUGGGUUUAGAUGCAGUAAGUUAUGUAUUCUCAAAUGAGAGGCUUUCAUUGUCUGGUGAUUCAGAGAGUCAGAGUGAUGAUAGUGCAGAUACUGUCCAUGCCAAGAUCAAUUUCCACUGAUUCAAAUUUUACCUUGAAUUCAAUUUAAAAUAACAAUUUCAGGGGAUUAUCUCAAUCACCAGCCAAAUGUGCAUCUAAUGUAUUCAUGUGACUACGGAUGCUAUUAUUCUGUAUUAAGGUAUUUAACUGUGUUAUUAUUCUGUUUUUAUGUAUUUAGACAUGUUAUUAUUCUGUAUUAAGGUAUUUAACUGUGUUAUUAUUCUGUAUUUAGAUAUUUAGACAUGUCAUUAUUCCGUAUUUAGGUAUUUAACUGUGUUAUUAUUCUGUAUUUAGGUAUUUAACUGUUCAUAUUCUGUAUUUAGGUAUUUAACUGUGUUAUUAUUCUGUAUUUAGGUAUUUAGACAUGUUAUUAUUCUGUAUUUAGGUAUUUAACUGUGUUAUUAUUCUGUAUUUAGGUAUUUAGACAUGUUAUUAUUCUGUAUUUAGGUAUUUAACUGUGUUAUUAUUCUGUAUUUAGGUAUUUAGACAUGUUAUUAUUCUGAAUGUAGGUAUUUAGACAUGUUAUUAUUCUGUAUUUAGGUAAUAACUGUGUUAUUAUUCAGUUUUUAUCUAUUUAGACAUGUUAUUAUUCUGUAUUAAGGUAUUUAACUGUGUUAUUAUUAUGUAUUUAGGUAUUUAACUGUGUUAUUAUUCUGUAUUUAGGUAUUUAGACAUGUUAUUAU
rnacentral:lncRNA from 1 species